rnacentral:rRNA from 1 species
UACGUAGGGUGCAAGCGUUAAUCGGAAUUACUGGGCGUAAAGCGUGCGCAGGCGGUUUGUAAGUCUGUCGUGAAAUCCCCGGGCUCAACCUGGGAAUUGCGAUGGAGACUGCAAGGCUAGAAUCUGGCAGAGGGGGUAGAAUUCCACGUGUGAGCAGUGAAAUGCGUAGAGAGUGUGGAGGAACACCGGUGGCGAAGGCGGUU